rnacentral:rRNA from 1 species
GACGAACGCUGGCGGCGUGCUUAACACAUGCAAGUCGAGCGGUAAGGCCCUUUCGGGGGUACACGAGCGGCGAACGGGUGAGUAACACGUGGGUGACCUGCCUUUAGCUCUGGGAUAAGCCUGGGAAACCGGGUCUAAUACCGGAUAUGACUCCGCGGCGCAUGUUGUGGGGUGGAAAGCCUUGUGCGGCUGGAGAUGGGCCCGCGGCCUAUCAGCUUGUUGGUGGGUGAUGGCCUACCAAGGCGACGACGGUAGCCGGCCUGAGAGGGCGACCGGCCACACUGGGACUGAGACACGGCCCAGACUCCUACGGGAGGCAGCAGUGGGGAAUCUUGCGCAAUGGGCGAAAGCCUGACGCAGCGACGCCGCGUGAGGGAUGACGGCCUCGGUGUAA